UACGGGGGGGGUAAGCGUUGUUCGGAAUUACUGGGCGUAAAGGGCGCGUAGGUGGCCUUCUAAGUUGAACGUGAAAUCCCUGGGCUCAACCCAGGAACUGCGUCCAAGACUGGGAGGCUUGAAUCCGGGAGAGGGAUGCGGAAUUCCAGGUGUAGCGGUGAAAUGCGUAGAUAUCUGGAGGAACACCGGUGGCGAAGGCGGCAUCCUGGACCGGGAUUGACACUGAGGCGCGAAAGCCAGGGGAGCAAACGGG
rnacentral:rRNA from 1 species